rnacentral:lncRNA from 1 species
AAUGAACCAAAGUUACAUUUUCUCUUGUCGUUCUUGGACAUGAGUACAUUCGGUAUUUAGUAUCACCAGAUGACUGAAUCUCCUCUGUGACAUAAUAAAUUCUCGAUUUUCUAAAGUAGAAGGGGGGGUGGCUCAGCACCCCCCCCCCCCGAGUUUGAAGAAGGGGGGCUCCGCCCCCAAGCGACCCCCACUUCUACAGCACUGGCUGUGUCUGGACCUUUAUAGCAGGUUAAAUCGAGGUUUCUGUUUGUCAAAUCUUCCCCAGAACGCAGGAAAUUCCCUACGCCGCUAGACUUUGUUUAAUUAACCUACCACCAAACCAAUCUACGAGAUGCCGGUGGAAAAUUGGAAAUCACUGAUGUAGUCCGGUCCGGUGAUAUAUUGGGGUAAAUGGGGGUAUAUUUAGGAAGAUAGGGGGCGAACAGGGACGGUGAAGACCACAUGGUCGUAAUCGAAGAAAUUAUAAUUUCUGGCAAGAAAGAAAUUAUUUUGUGCUUGCUUGGUCGACGUUAUUUUUCCCUUUUGGCCUUUUCGGCCUUUCCAUCUUACUUGUGAGAAACCAUGGAGGAUGAAGACAAGUCUUUAGAUAAUUUCUUCGCGAAGAAAGACAAAGGCAAGAAGGGAAAGUCGAAAACCAAGGGGAAGUUUACGACAUCGUCGUCAAUCACCAAGCAAGUUGAAAAAUCUCAAAAACCUGAGAAUGAACAAAGCAAAGAUCAAAAGCCAAACGCAAGUCAACUUUCCAACGCUCAGGUAAGCACGAAGAUGUCGAUCAUGUCGGGAUUGUAAGAAUGAAUGCCGGAAAAUGAUUGAAUGUAAGUUUGGGAUAUAGCAAAAUGUGAAGAAAUUUAAUACACAUGUAAUAAAUUAUAUAUUCUAUUAAGUGUUUGUCGGCUUGUGAUCACGAUUGGAGCAGAGCCAGCGCUGGCUAUUAUUAUUUGAAUUUCCUAUUUAUUUGCAUGGUAUUUCAGAACAGAACCUAGCUAGCUGGCACCUCUAAAUCCUCAGUCAUAUUUAAUAUAUGGUGGUAUACACAGUUGAAUUGCUGGUACAGUCUGUAGUGGAGGUAUAUACAGUCGAACCUGUAUUAAGCGGUCACCCUCGGGGAUUUCACAAAUGACCGCUUAAUACAGGUUGACCGCUUAAUACAGGUCUUGUAGAAAAUCACCACACGGCUUAAAUAUAACAUUUAAUAUAACUACAGUAAAUUUGAACUAAACAGUAAUAUAUUUCAAUACACAUACCAAGUAACCAAUUAAAAAGUAUAUAAAACUGCAAAUUGUUUCUGAGUUUAAAGUGCAAAUUGUUUUUGAAUUGCUUCUGAGUUGAGACUACAUGUACUACUGUACAAUAAAAAUGUCAGAGCUUAAACGGCUGAAAAGUCUACAUUUUCUUUUCGUUUGCUGCCGACAACUCCUCUACUUUCUUCACAGGGUAUGCAUAUGCCAACUGCUACACCAGCCUUCCAUCCCGGUAAUUCUUCGGAUGCGGCAAUCGAACAAUUAGUUGAGCGAUUGCACGUAGGUUUUUGGCAAAGUAAGCAUCGAUAUUUUGUUUCUUCCGAG